ACAAACUUGGUCAUUUAGAGGAAGUAAAAGUCGUAACAAGGUUUCCGUAGGUGAACCUGCGGAAGGAUCAUUAUUGAAUAAACUUGGCUGGGUUGUUGCUGACUUCUAGGAGUAUGUGCACGCCCAGUCCAUUUUUAUAACCACCUGUGCACCUUGUGUAGAUCUGAAGAAAGUCGGGGCAACUCGGUUUGAGAAUUUGCUGUGCGAAAGCCAGCUAUUCUUGCAUUCAGAUUUACGUAUUUACAUACCCUAUCGAAAGUAUUCGAAUGCUGUAAUUGGCCUUAUGCGCCUUUAAACUCAAUACAACUUUCAACAACGGAUCUCUUGGCUCUCGCAUCGAUGAAGAACGCAGC
rnacentral:misc_RNA from 1 species